CUGAUAACUAUUAUUCUACUACUUUUAGAAAAAUAGAAAAAGCCAAUAGUGAAGGGUAUAAAUAAACAAUUAAUCUUCAAAUAUUCUCUUGAAGCUUUUUUAGCUAUGGACUCUCAAGUGUAUCUGCAUUUUGGAGAAAAAAGGUCAGAGUCUAUCGUAACACAAGCAUUAGUGACUAAUCCUACGAUUCAAACAUAUAACUUGUAAGUCAGACGAGGUGACUUUACGCUACUCCAAGGCUUCCGUUCAUAACAAAACUGUGAAGCAGCUUUCCUAUUUCAGACCUGUGACUAUCAAGAAUAAAAGUGUUCCGACUAUCUAUGAAUGACCAGGAUCAGAAUGCCAAUGGACGAGAUCAGAGAGAAGAACACCAACGCACCAAUGACGAUGAUACAUAAAAAAAAAUAAUUUCAGCACACGGUACAAUACAAGCUCUUGCCUGUGCCAAACACCACUUAAAAUGAAUCGAUGAAUUUAAAUGAAAGAAAAAAGAGGGAAGAACAGAGUACUGAUGCUAUACUAAAAAAAAAAAA